rnacentral:rRNA from 1 species
CAGCCGCCACGGGAAUACGUAGGGGGCAAGCGUUGUCCGGAAUUAUUGGGCGUAAAGGGCUCGCAGGCGGUUUCUUAAGUCUGAUGUGAAAGCCCCCGGCUCAACCGGGGAGGGUCAUUGGAAACUGGGAAACUUGAGUGCAGAAGAGGAGAGUGGAAUUCCACGUGUAGCGGUGAAAUGCGUAGAGAUGUGGAGGAACACCAGUGGCGAAGGCGACUCUCUGGUCUGUAACUGACGCUGAGGUGCGAAAGCGUGGGGAGCAAACAGGAUUAGAUACCCCAGUAGUCCCUGUCUCUUAUAC